GUCUACGGCCAUGCCACCCUGAACAAGCCCGAUGUCUGAUCUCAGAAGCUAAGCAGGGUCGGGCCUGGUUAGUACUUGGAUGGGAAACCACGUAAGAAGACCAGGUGCUGGAGGCA
rfam:Pteropus alecto contig22311, whole genome shotgun sequence.